rnacentral:rRNA from 11 species
CAUCCUAAGGUAGCGAAAUUCCUUGUCGGGUAAGUUCCGACCCGCACGAAUCGUGUAACGAGUUGAACGCUGUCUCGGAGAGAUGCUCAGUGAAAUUGUAGUCGCGGUCAAGAUGCCGCGUACCCGCAGCAGGACGGAAAGACCCUUUGCACCUUUACUGUAAGCUGAUAUUGGCAUUUGAUUUUCAAUGCGUAGGAUAGGUGGGAGACUUUGAUCCGGUACUUCAGGGUACUGAGGAGUCGUUGGUGAAAUACCACCCUUUGUUUGUUAGAUGUCUAACCAUACGCCAUUAACUGGCUGUGGGACAGUGUUAGCGGGUCAGUUUUACUGGGGCGGUAUCCUCCUAAAGAGUAACGGAGGAUUACGAAGGUUCCCUCUGCCUGGUUGGCAAUCAGGCGAUAGAGCAUAUUGGUAUAAGGGAGCUUUACUGUGAGACCUACAAGUCGAGCAGUUGCGAAAGCAGGUCAAAGUGAUCCGGUGGUUGAAUAUGGAAUUGCCAUCGCUAAAAGGACAAAAGGUACGCUAGGGAUAACAGGCUGAUCCCACCCAAGCGUUCAUAGCGACGGUGGGGUUUGGCACCUCGAUGUCGGCUCAUCACAUCCUGGGG